rnacentral:rRNA from 1 species
UUAGAUACCCUAUUAUACUAAUAAAAGUCUGAAUUAUUAAUAGGUAUAUUCUUUAAAUUUGAAGAAUUUGGCGGUGAUUUAAUCUUAUUAGAGGAACCUGUUUUUGAAUCGAUACACCACGCUAUAUCUUACUCAUUUUAUUUAGUUUAUAUACCGUCAUUAUUAGAUGAUUUUUAAAGAAUAUAAUCAUUAAAAUUUAUAAAAUAGUAGUAAAUUAAAUUAGAUCAAGGUGUAGCUUAUAAAUGAGUUAAAAUGGGUUACAAUAAAAUAUAUUUAUAUGGAUUAGUAUAGGAAGAAAUAUUAUAA